rnacentral:lncRNA from 1 species
AUAUUUUAAAUCAGAUCUCAACAUAUACCCUAACACUAAGUCGUAUUGAAAUGUAUAAAAGGGAUAGGCAGUAGGUUUGGAAUUUUAAAACAAAUGAAAAAUAGAUAUAUAAAAAAGAAAGGAAAUAGUAUGAUAAGGAAACUAUACUAAUUUUAGAAAAAUGUAAUACAUUACAGAGAACGACAAUUUUUCGCAAUAAGGUGUUUUUGUUGUCAAAUAUAAAAUGUAGAGUCAGUAACAAAUUGUGCAAGAGGUAGUUAAAAUUUUAUUAAUGGAAUCUUAAACGUUUUUUUUAGAGUAAGGAGAUAAAUUUGUGGUCUAUAUUUAACGUUAAGAUUAAUUAAGGA